CCUUAGCCCUGAUUGCAGUGGAAAUCCCGCUUGCGGAUUGCAACGGAAAGCAGGAAAACGG
rnacentral:sRNA from 1 species